GUUUGUACCAGAAGUUUUGCCUAAGCACACUCCAGCUUGACCUUCACGCUGCCGCUAUUUCUUAAUAAUUUGGUUACUGAUUUUACUGAUUGCGAAGCCCGUCCCGCCCUCUGAACCAUUAAUUUCGUUUUCAAUAGGUCAGGCGAGAGCAAUGGCAGCGCCUUUACCCACCAUCCCUCGCGGUGGGGAAUGCCCCCUAUUCUGGCCACGGGAGAGCAGGUGCGCAGGCGCAGUACCACCCAGCGGCCGGAGCAUGCGCACUGACCGCCAACACCAGGGGGGGCCCAGAGACGCCGUGUUUUUUUCACCCUCUCAUCCGCCGGCGGUGUUGGAGGUGAUUUCCUUGGAUUCCAGGGGUUACUGUUUUACACGCAGCCGCAUCGUUUUGGAACUUUGGGGAGAAAAGGAUCAAAAGCGACACUUUUAAAAGCGGGAAGACAGACAAAAGGCAGCGAGCACACGGUUGAGAAGGAGCUGGGGACCUUGACCAGGAAAGUCAAUCCACACCAGAUGAAGAGCUGACUGGGGGGGGGGGGGUGUGGGGGUCAGAGCACCGUUGACCCGCGGCAGGAGGGACGGGCUGGGCGUAGGCG